AUUGAACGCUGGCGGCAGGCCUAACACAUGCAAGUCGAACGAGUGGCGUACGGGUGACUUAUGUCUGGGCAACUGCCUGAUGGAUCGGGUUCGCUACUGGAAACUGUAGCUAAUACCGCCUACCAUCACAUGUGCCCAGAUGGGAUUAGCGAGUUGGUGGGGUAAAGGCUGACCAAGGCGACGAUCCCUACCUGGUCUGAGAGGAUGACCAGUCACACUGGAACUGAGACACGGUCCAGACUCCUACGGGAGGCAGCAGUGGGGAAUAUUGGACAAUGGGCGAAAGCCUGAUGCAGCCAUGCCGCGUGUGUGAAGAAGGCCUUCGGAUUGUAAAGUACUUUAAGCGGGGAGGCGUUACCAGCAGAAGAAGCACCGGCUAACUCCGUGCCAGCAGCCGCGGUAAUUC
rnacentral:rRNA from 1 species